rnacentral:rRNA from 1 species
ACGGAGGGUGCAAGCGUUGUUCGGAAUUAUUGGGCGUAAAGGGCGCGUAGGCGGUAAUAUAAGUCAGAUGUGAAAUACUUCCGCUCAACUGUAGAACUGCAUCUGAAACUGCAUGACUAGAGUAUAGAAGAGGGAAACGGGAUUCCCGGUGUAGAGGUGAAAUUCAUAGUUAUAGGGAGGAACUACAAUUGGGAAGGCAGAUUCCUGGUCUAAUACUGACGCUGGGGCGCGAAACAGUGGGAAGCAAACAG